UGCCGGGUACCUUCCGCAUGCUUGGUAUUCUCCCCGCGGGGCUCUGACCGCUGCCGCUCUCAGGCACCUGUCUUUCCUCUCCGUCCCAGAAUGGAGCCAAGACAAGGGAAUAAACGAAAUUCAAUAGUACACGGAGAUCGGGUGUCUGGGCAGCGUCUUGGAAAAACUAUCCACUACAGGUCAAGUGAAGUUCUUCUGCUGAUAUGUUCUGCUACUGCAUAAGAGACGGAAUCUAUGUUGCCUCGACUGGUCCUGAACUCCUGGGCUAAAGCGAUCCUUCUGCCUUGGCCUCCCAAAGUGCGAGGAUUAUAGGUCAAUCAACAACACAGAAGACAACUUCUGCAACCCUAUCGGGAGAGGAGGGGUUCUCUCCACCACCAGAUUAUUCCUGACUAGUGAUAUAAAUAAAAUCUUUCCUGGUCCAGAAUUGGUGUUGAGCCUCUCAACAAAUCUUUGAGCCCUGAUUAUAUAUAAGGUAUUGUGCCAGGUGCAGUGGCUCACGCCUGUAAUCCCAGCACUUUGGGAGGCUGAGGUGGGCGGAUCACCUGAGGUCGGGAGUUCGAGACCAGCCUGACCAACAUGGAGAAACCCCGUCUCUACUAAAAAUACAAAAUUAGCUAGGCAUGUUGCCACGUGCCUGUAACCCCAGCUACUCGGGAGGCUGAGGCAGGAGAAUCAACUGAACCUGGGAGAUGGAGGUUGUGGUGAGCUGAGAUUACACCAUUGCACUCCAGCCUGGGCAACAAGAGCAAAACUCCAUUUCAAAAAAAAGAAGUAUUGUGCUAGAUAAAUAAAACAACAAAAAUGUGUAUGUAAAGUUUUUACUCUAAGAUGAAGGUUCUCAAACGUCAGUUUUCAUCACAGUCCCCUGGAAGAAUUCUCAAAACACAGAAUGCUUGCCAAGUCAAUCCUAAGCCAAAAGAACAAAGCUGGAGGCAUCACACUACCUGACUUCAAACUAUACUACAAGGAUGCAGUAACCAAAACAGCAUGGUACUGGUACCAAAACAGAGAUAUAGACCAAUGGAACAGAACAGAGCCCUCAGAAAUAAUGCCGCUUAUCUACAACCAUCUGAUCUUUGACAAACCUGACAAAAACAAGAAAUGGGGAAAGGAUUCCCUAUUUAAUAAAUGGUGCUGGGAAAACUGGCUAGCCAUAUGCAGAAAGCUGAAACUGGAUCCCUUCCUUACACCUUAUGCUAAAAUUAAUUCAAGAUGGAUUAAAGACUUAAAUGUUAGACCUAAAACCAUAAAAACCGUAGAAUAAAACCUAGGCAAUACCAUUCAGGACAUAGGCAUGGGCAAGGACUUCAUGUUUAAAACACCAAAAGCCAUGGCAACAGAAGCCAAAAUUGACAAAUAGGAUCUAAUUAAACUAAAGAGCUUCUGCACAGCAAAAGAAACUACCAUCAGAGUGAACAGGCAACCUACAGAAUGGGAGAAAAUUUUUGCAAUCUACUCAUCUGACAAAGGGCUAGUAUCCAGAAUCUACAAUGAACUCAAACAAAUUUACAAGAAAAAAACAACCCCAUCAAAAAGUGGGCAAACGAUAUGAACAGACACUUCUCAAAAGACGACAUUUAUGCUGCCAAAAGACACAUGAAAAAAUGCUCAUCAUCACUGGCCAUCAGAGAAAUGCAAAUCAAAACCACAAUGAGAUACCAUCUCACACCAGUUAGAAUGGCGAUCAUUAAAAAGUCAGGAAACAACAGGUGCUGGAGAGGAUGUGGAGAAACAGGAACACUUUUACACUGUUAGUGGGACUGUAAACUAGUUCAACCAUUGUGGAAGUCAGUGUGGCGAUUCCUCAGGGAUCUAGAACUAGAAAUACCAUUUGACCCAGCCAUCCCAUUACUGGGUAUAUACCCAAAGGAUUAUAAAUCAUGCUGCUAUAAAGACACAUGCACACGUAUGUUUAUUGUGGCACUAUUCACAAUAGCAAAGACUUGGAACCAACCCAAAUGUCCAAUAAUGAUAGACUGGAUUAAGAAAAUGUGGCACAUAUACACCAUGGAAUACUAUUCAGCCAUAAAAAAGGAUGAGUUCAUGUCCUUUGUAGGGACAUGGAUGAAGCCGGAAACCAUCAUUCUCAGCAAACUAUCGCAAGGACAAAAAACCAAACACCGCGUGUUCUCACUCAUAGGUAGGAACUGAACAAUGAGAACACAUGGACACAGGAAGGGGAACAUCACACGCCGGGGCCUGUUGUGGGGUGGGGGGAGCGGGGAGGGAUAGCAUUAGGAGAUAUACCUAAUGUUAAAUGACGAGUUACUGGGUGCAGCACACCAACAUGGCACAUGUAUACAUAUGUAACUAACCUGCACGUUGUGCACAUGUACCCUAAAACUUAAAGUAUAAUAAAGAAAAAAAAAACACAGAAUGCUGAGCCUUACUUCCAGAGUUUCUGAUUUAUGAAGUCUGAAUGGCGCCUGAGAAUGUGCAUUUCUAACAAGUUAGUAAUGCACCAACUAGGUGUUACCAAUGAUGAUAAUCUGGGGACCACUCUGAGCCCCUCUGCUCUAAGAAGAUACUUAACGUGUUCUUCAAAAAUGCCCAAAGAAGUAAAAGAGCAACGCUCAAAACUAGUUUGUUACAUACUUUUCUCUUUAAAAAACCUACCCAAAUGCUUUACAAAUACAGGAAAUAUAUCCACCUCCUAAGACAUUAAUACACCACAUACUUAGAACUUAGUAAUUAUAAAAUACACUAACUACACUGACUAGACUAUUCAAUGGUUGACCUGUGGUAUAUAUCCACAAUCAUCAAUAGAACUUUUUUCCCCCAAAUAUAGAAGGCCAAAUCCCAACCCUGGAAAUUCAAAUUAAAGGCUUGGCACAUCUGUUUAAAAAAUAAUAUCAACAUAAUCCUGAUGAGCACUCUUAGCUGUUUAAAGUCUAUGUUUCAUUUCUGAGUGCUUGUAAAAUUUACAGAUCCCUGAGUUCCAUCCCAAAAUUACCAAAUCAGAAUCUCUGGCGAAUGGGUCCCUGGGAAUCCAUAGAGCAACUAGACACUCAGGUGAUUUAACCACAGAAGUUUGAGAAACAUUAGCAGGUCUUAAAGCAAAAGCU
rnacentral:lncRNA from 1 species